rnacentral:rRNA from 1 species
GGUUAAGCGACUAAGCGUACACGGUGGAUGCCCUGGCAGUCAGAGGCGAUGAAGGACGUGCUAAUCUGCGAUAAGCGUCGGUAAGGUGAUAUGAACCGUUAUAACCGGCGAUUUCCGAAUGGGGAAACCCAGUGUGUUUCGACACACUAUCAUUAACUGAAUCCAUAGGUUAAUGAGGCGAACCGGGGGAACUGAAACAUCUAAGUACCCCGAGGAAAAGAAAUCAACCGAGAUUCCCCCAGUAGCGGCGAGCGAACGGGGAGGAGCCCAGAGCCUGAAUCAGUGUGUGUGUUAGUGGAAGUGUCUGGAAAGGCGCGCGAUACAGGGUGACAGCCCCGUACACAAAAAUGCACAUACUGUGAGCUCGAUGAGUAGGGCGGGACACGUGGUAUCCUGUCUGAAUAUGGGGGGACCAUCCUCCAAGGCUAAAUACUCCUGACUGACCGAUAGUGAACCAGUACCGUGAGGGAAAGGCGAAAAGAACCCCGGCGAGGGGAGUGAAAAAGAACCUGAAACCGUGUACGUACAAGCAGUGGGAGCCUCUUUAUGGGGUGACUGCGUACCUUUUGUAUAAUGGGUCAGCGACUUAUAUUCUGUAGCAAGGUUAACCGAAUAGGGGAGCCGAAGGGAAACCGAGUCUUAACUGGGCGUUAAGUUGCAGGGUAUAGACCCGAAACCCGGUGAUCUAGCCAUGGGCAGGUUGAAGGUUGGGUAACACUAACUGGAGGACCGAACCGACUAAUGUUGAAAAAUUAGCGGAUGACUUGUGGCUGGGGGUGAAAGGCCAAUCAAACCGGGAGAUAGCUGGUUCUCCCCGAAAGCUAUUUAGGUAGCGCCUCGUGAAUUCAUCUCCGGGGGUAGAGCACUGUUUCGGCAAGGGGGUCAUCCCGACUUACCAACCCGAUGCAAACUGCGAAUACCGGAGAAUGUUAUCACGGGAGACACACGGCGGGUGCUAACGUCCGUCGUGAAGAGGGAAACAACCCAGACCGCCAGCUAAGGUCCCAAAGUCAUGGUUAAGUGGGAAACGAUGUGGGAAGGCCCAGACAGCCAGGAUGUUGGCUUAGAAGCAGCCAUCAUUUAAAGAAAGCGUAAUAGCUCACUGGUCGAGUCGGCCUGCGCGGAAGAUGUAACGGGGCUAAACCAUGCACCGAAGCUGCGGCAGCGACGCUUAUGCGUUGUUGGGUAGGGGAGCGUUCUGUAAGCCGUUGAAGGUGUGCUGUGAGGCAUGCUGGAGGUAUCAGAAGUGCGAAUGCUGACAUAAGUAACGAUAAAGCGGGUGAAAAGCCCGCUCGCCGGAAGACCAAGGGUUCCUGUCCAACGUUAAUCGGGGCAGGGUGAGUCGACCCCUAAGGCGAGGCCGAAAGGCGUAGUCGAUGGGAAACAGGUUAAUAUUCCUGUACUUGGUGUUACUGCGAAGGGGGGACGGAGAAGGCUAUGUUGGCCGGGCGACGGUUGUCCCGGUUUAAGCGUGUAGGCUGGUUUUCCAGGCAAAUCCGGAAAAUCAAGGCUGAGGCGUGAUGACGAGGCACUACGGUGCUGAAGCAACAAAUGCCCUGCUUCCAGGAAAAGCCUCUAAGCAUCAGGUAACAUCAAAUCGUACCCCAAACCGACACAGGUGGUCAGGUAGAGAAUACCAAGGCGCUUGAGAGAACUCGGGUGAAGGAACUAGGCAAAAUGGUGCCGUAACUUCGGGAGAAGGCACGCUGAUAUGUAGGUGAAGCGACUUGCUCGUGGAGCUGAAAUCAGUCGAAGAUACCAGCUGGCUGCAACUGUUUAUUAAAAACACAGCACUGUGCAAACACGAAAGUGGACGUAUACGGUGUGACGCCUGCCCGGUGCCGGAAGGUUAAUUGAUGGGGUCAGCCGCAAGGCGAAGCUCUUGAUCGAAGCCCCGGUAAACGGCGGCCGUAACUAUAACGGUCCUAAGGUAGCGAAAUUCCUUGUCGGGUAAGUUCCGACCUGCACGAAUGGCGUAAUGAUGGCCAGGCUGUCUCCACCCGAGACUCAGUGAAAUUGAACUCGCUGUGAAGAUGCAGUGUACCCGCGGCAAGACGGAAAGACCCCGUGAACCUUUACUAUAGCUUGACACUGAACAUUGAGCCUUGAUGUGUAGGAUAGGUGGGAGGCUUUGAAGCGUGGACGCCAGUCUGCGUGGAGCCGACCUUGAAAUACCACCCUUUAAUGUUUGAUGUUCUAACGUGGACCCGUGAUCCGGGUUGCGGACAGUGUCUGGUGGGUAGUUUGACUGGGGCGGUCUCCUCCUAAAGAGUAACGGAGGAGCACGAAGGUUGGCUAAUCCUGGUCGGACAUCAGGAGGUUAGUGCAAUGGCAUAAGCCAGCUUGACUGCGAGCGUGACGGCGCGAGCAGGUGCGAAAGCAGGUCAUAGUGAUCCGGUGGUUCUGAAUGGAAGGGCCAUCGCUCAACGGAUAAAAGGUACUCCGGGGAUAACAGGCUGAUACCGCCCAAGAGUUCAUAUCGACGGCGGUGUUUGGCACCUCGAUGUCGGCUCAUCACAUCCUGGGGCUGAAGUAGGUCCCAAGGGUAUGGCUGUUCGCCAUUUAAAGUGGUACGCGAGCUGGGUUUAGAACGUCGUGAGACAGUUCGGUCCCUAUCUGCCGUGGGCGCUGGAGAACUGAGGGGGGCUGCUCCUAGUACGAGAGGACCGGAGUGGACGCAUCACUGGUGUUCGGGUUGUCAUGCCAAUGGCACUGCCCGGUAGCUAAAUGCGGAAGAGAUAAGUGCUGAAAGCAUCUAAGCACGAAACUUGCCCCGAGAUGAGUUCUCCCUGAGACUUUAAGUCUCCUGAAGGAACGUUGAAGACGACGACGUUGAUAGGCCGGGUGUGUAAGCGCAGCGAUGCGUUGAGCUAACCGGUACUAAUGAACCGUGAGGCUUAACCUU